UGCGAUACUUUGUUAAAGUUAAAAUUCUAGAUAUACUUAAACUACCACUGUGCAAUGUGAGUUUACUGAUUUAAAGUUAAGCUUCUUUCUUUUUUUAGGUAUCAGAAAAAUGAAGUUGUUUGUCAUUUGUCUGGUUGCUUUGCUCUUCAUAAAUAACAGUGAGGCUUUGAUGUGUUAUGCAUGUUUUGGAAAAGAUUGUUCAGCUAGACGAGAGGAAUGUGGCUCACGUUUGAUAAACCCUGUCUGUGCCACCGUAGAUGCACCCAAAUUUUAUGUGAAAGGAUGCAUGAGUGAGUACAUCUGUAGGGGGCAACAGAAGGCUCCGGGUACCACUGCUACCUGCUGCAGUUACAACUACUGCAACUAAUAAUAAGAUACAGAAGAUACAGCAGCCACAGCAAUGUCUUUAUAUAAUCAUCACUUACCAGAAGUUAAAAUCCAGCACUAUUUUAUUUUUCAUGCAUAUAAUAUAGAAUUGGCCUGGAAUUCAUGAUUUGUUCUGUUAAUAAUUUUAUUUGAAUUAAAUAAAAUAAUUAACAACA